GCUGCAGUGGCCUAGUGGUUAGAGCGCCCGCCUCGGAUGCGGGAGGUCGCGGGUUCAAACCCCGGCCGAGUAAUA